rnacentral:rRNA from 1 species
UUGAAGUCGAGAAUGAAAGGAAAAAUUGAAAUAAACUGUCUUAAAAGUUUUUUUUAAAAUUGCUAAUAUGGUGAAAAUUCCAUAAUAAAUUUUAAUAGACGAGAAGACCCUAUGAAUUAUAUUAUUAAAAGUUAAUCGUUUAAUUUUAAUUUUUGUUGGGGCAACAGAGAAUAAAUAAAAAUUCUAAAUUUACUGUUAAUAUUUGAAGUUUUACUAUAAAUAAAUUUAAUU